UACGUAGGGAGCAAGCGUUGUCCGGAAUCCUUGGGCGUAAAGCGCGCGUAGGUGGCCCUGUAAGUCCGUUGUGAAAGUCAAAGGCUCAACCUUUGAAAGCCGAUGGAUACUGCAGGGCUAGAGUACGGAAGAGGCGAGUGGAAUUCCUGGUGUAGCGGUGGAAUGCGCAGAUAUCAGGAGGAACACCAAUAGCGAAGGCAGCUCGCUGGGACGUUACUGACACUGAGGCGCGAAAGCGUGGGGAGCGAACAGG
rnacentral:rRNA from 1 species